ACCAGACUUGCCCUCCAUAGUUGCUCAGCAGUGUGUAUUAGAUACAAUCCAUUGCAUUCCUGGUCAUAAAGAACAGGGAUACUAUUUUUCGUCGCUGCCUCGCUGUGUGUUAGCAUUGGGCAAUUUGCGCGCCUGCUGCUGACCGUAGUCAUGGUUGCCGUUUCUCAGGCACCCUCUCCGGAAUCGAACCCCAAUCCUCCGUUACCCGUCAGAGGCAAGGUAGUCCACUACACUACCUUCUAACCUGAUAGGUGGUGAAUUCGUCCAACAACGCGCCAGAGGCGCUUCCGCUACAUUGGCCUGCGUCAACAAUUACAGCUGCCCUUGCGGGCGUUGGUUUUUGUUCCGGCCAAUAGCAUCCAUGACCCCAUGCAGAGGCGAGCCCUGCACGGUGGACGGUCACAGAUUCUUCUUCCAGGUAUUAGCUGCCCGUUUAGGGCAGUUAUCCCGUAGGACGGACCGAGAUCCGUCUUUGUUGGGUAGACUAUUAACCGUUUAAUGAGCCGUACACAGUCCCCCCGAGAAGUCUCAGGUCCACUGACAUUUGCAUGGCUUAGUCCUUGAAAUAAGCAUAUGACAACUGGCAGGAUCAACCAG
rnacentral:rRNA from 1 species